rnacentral:piRNA from 1 species
UGCCAGUUCACAUUUUCUUCAAAUUC